GUCUGUGGCCGUACCACCCUGAACGUGCCCGAUCUUGUCUGAUCCCAGAAGCUAAGCAGGGUCGGGCCUGGUUAGUACCGGGAUGGGAGAAAGAGGAGUCAGUGCAUGAGUUGGGAGCCCUGUCAUAGCCAGCAGGUA
rnacentral:rRNA from 1 species